CGGUCUGCCUCGCGUGAUUUUGCAUCCGUCCGAUCCCAUCAGUCUGCCUCGCGUGAUUUUGCAGACGUCCAAUCCCACCCGUCGUGCGAUCCUGACGCCUCCCCGUCGUCGGCCUGCCGCGAGCGAUCGAUCAGCAGCCAUCCGUUCCUGGUUUCCUCGCAACGAACGGCAGACUGCAAUAGUCGUCUCGCACCGCCCCCGCCCUCCCCCAAACCCUAGACAACAUCGCUCGUCUGCUGCCGGCGGUCGAGCACGCGCUAAAGCGGCAGCUCUGGGAUGGUGAGGUGAUCCCGUACGCGACCUGCUGCGCGUGUGCUAGGAGGUGGGCACGGCAAGGACGCACGACGCCGUUCCUGCUGCUACCGUUGGUACAUCGCCGCCGGCGUUCCACCCGUCGCCUCCCAGUUCUCCUCCUCAAAUCCGGCUGCGUUCCGAGGCAGAGCGCCGCUCCGCCGCUGAUCAGCACCAAAAUGGAACCCCCCUCAAUAGCCUCUCUAUUUUCCUCCGCUCAACGCACUCUCCCGUACCCUAAAUUUUCUGGAUUUUAGGCUGUAGGUGCCGCCGGCCACCAUGGCUGUUGCCCGAGGUGCUUGCUUCUCCUUUCAAGCACGAGCAUCCCUGGAGUAAUCUUCUGCAGGUUACUGAAUGUACAUCAGUACAUCACAUUUGAUGCUACAAUUCCUAUGCAGUUGCCAGCUACAAUCCACUGGAACAUGAUGCCAAUCUUACCGUCGAUGGCAUCCUCUAGGGAUGAGACUAAAAGGUCAUAAACAGGCAUGGAAAGCGUCUGAUAUCAGAGAGAUAUCAACAGUUGAUCUGGAAUGCUGCAGACGGAGAGGAUACACACAUGUGCAGGCGUGCAGCUACGACACACCCGUGGGGUCGAGGCUGACUCAAAUGACAUGGAGUGUAGUUUAGCAGUUUGAGAAAAUGCCCAAGUAGUAGUCGAUGAUUGUUUUGACAAGCUUGCAGUUGAUACUGAUGACAAACAAUCCCAUGCUUUCAUUGCUUGCAGAGGAUGUCAAGCACUUGCAUUCGGCAAGUCAAUACCUCUUUAAAUGGAAUUCUCAAGGAAUGCAAACCCUUCACUGUUAUCUACACCCUUCUAUAGUAUGUCUCUGCACACAUUAUCUGCCUAUAAAAUAUGACUGGAAAAGCCUAAAAAGUAAUGAUACCUACUUGACAACAUUUUUCUAGCUUGGGGUUCAUGAUUUAUGUGAUUUCAAUAAUCACUUUUCUAGCAUGUAAUGGAUGUAUGUGCACCAAAUUGAAUAUUUAUGCUGCUUCUAAUUUUGUCACCAUUUGUUGUGUGCAGAAAUAUAUGAGGGAUUUAUGAAGCUGGCUCAUCAAACAUUUGCCGGUUGGGUUGGGGGGGGGGGGGGAGGUAAUAACUUCAGAAUAUAACAAAAGGUCUUAACCUGUGCAAAGGUCUAUUAGCUCUCUAUCAGUACUUCAGUAGUAGUGCUUUUACAAAGAGAUGAUGCAAUCAUGCUCUAAUGCCAUAAUGUGCCUUAAAUAUUGUGAGCAGAGGAGAACUUGUUCUUCUGAAUUAGGAAACCCUGAACAUAUUGUUAUAAUAAUGUUUGCACAAGUUACUGUUCUAAAGCAGCCCAACCAUAUUAAUGACAUCAAAUAGAAAAUUGCAAAAUUCUUGUUCUUCUGAAUUAGGAAGCACUGUGAUGCAAUGAUUUUGAUAGAAAUUACUGCUAUAUGUUUGCCAGCACUAACAACUGUAAUUUUUCUUUUUGACUGUGUACUAGAGAAAUGGAAUUGGAUUACCAUGGAAAGUCAUUGUGUUUCGAGUUUGAUAAUCAGUGUUGAUCCAAAAAAAUAAAAUGAAUUUGAAUGUUCUAUUGUUCUUGUCAUCUUUAUUUGCAGCAAAACAAUAGAAAGCAGCAUCUCCCAUAUUCAAGAAUGUUGCCAGACAUUGCUCCUGCAAUCAAUAUGCUUGAGUCACAUAUGUUUACCUUUGCUCAGAUUUCAGGAAAACACUCCAUCAAACGUUACACAAUUUGUCUCCUACAGAUUGGUAUGUACUCUUUUUAGUUUUUUUUUCAAGUGUGGCAUUGAAGUGUUUGUUGUACAAUCCACCGCAAGAACCAUGUCAAUAUGGAGUGCUCAAUCUCCCAGAUAAAUGGUGCUGAUAAGAUUUGGGCAAUUAUAGAGUGCUUCGUCUCCCAGAUUGUGAUUUGGUUUUUGUUUAUAACUCCUUGAAUUGUAUAAUAGAAUAACAUGUGUUGUUUGUAACAUGUCCUCUUUUACUACAAUACAUAGUACAAAUCUUAGCAACCA